rnacentral:miRNA from 1 species
GCCUGUUUAGGGUCGUCAAGCGG